UGGUGGAGUGAUUUGUCUGGUUAAUUCCGUUAACGAACGAGACCUCGACCUACUAAAUAGUCUGGCGAACUCUUCGGAGUUCGUACAGUUUUACUUCUUAGAGGGACUAUCGGUUUGUAGCCGAUGGAAGUUCGAGGCAAUAACA
rnacentral:rRNA from 1 species